rnacentral:rRNA from 1 species
UACAGAGGAGCCAAGCGUUGUCCGGAUUUACUGGGCGUAAAGCGCACGUAGGCGGGUCGUUAAGUCGGGGGUGAAAUCCUGGAGCUCAACUCCAGAACUGCCUUCGAUACUGGCGACCUAGAGUCCGGAAGAGGUGAGUGGAACUCCUAGUGUAGAGGUGGAAUUCGUAGAUAUUAGGAAGAACACCAGUGGCGAAGGCGGCUCACUGGUCCGGUACUGACGCUGAGGUGCGAAAGCGUGGGGAGCAAACAGG